rnacentral:lncRNA from 1 species
GCACACCCGGCCACGCUCGCACUCGCGCGGCCGCGGGGCCGGCUGCUUACCUCCGGGGCCUCAUGGUCGCGUCGCUAGCCUGGAUGCCCUGGACAUCAUUCCGAACAGCACAAUUCAAGGCUCUUGGGUAACCCCCUCCCACACCAACUCUGAGUUUGUUUAUGGCUUGUUUUGGACAAUAAGACAUUAGCAAAUGAGAUAUAAGUACAGGCUUGAGAAGUACAUGGGCACUGGGGCUUGCUUGCUGGCUGCUCUGUGGAACCUGAGACUACCACGUGAAGAAGAAGUUCGAAGUGCUAGAGGUUGAGAGAACAUGUGCAGCAAAGAUGAAGCAUCCCAGCUGAGAUUCCCCUAGAUCAAUCAGCUUGCCAACUGCCGCAAAAGCGAAUAAAGCCUUCCAAGAGCAUCCAGCUAUAAGCAUUUCUGUAGCCACCUGCGGCAGGAGAAUGGCGUGAACCCGGGAGGUGGAGCUUCCAGUGAGCCGAGAUCGCUCCACUGCACUCCAGCCUGGGCGACAAAGCGAGACUCCGUCUCAAAAAAAAAAAAAA